rnacentral:rRNA from 1 species
GAUGAACGCUGGCGGCGUGCCUAAUACAUGCAAGUCGAGCGAAUGGAUUAAGAGCUUGCUCUUAUGAAGUUAGCGGCGGACGGGUGAGUAACACGUGGGUAACCUGCCCAUAAGACUGAGAUAACUCCGGGAAACCGGGGCUAAUACCGGAUAACAUUUUGAACCGCAUGGUUCGAAAUUGAAAGGCGGCUUCGGCUGUCACUUAUGGAUGGACCCGCGUCGCAUUAGCUAGUUGGUGAGGGAACGGCUCACCAAGGCAACGAUGCGUAGCCGACCUGAGAGGGUGAUCGGCCACACUGGGACUGAGACACGGCCCAGACUCCUACGGGAGGCAGCAGUAGGGAAUCUUCCGCAAUGGACGAAAGUCUGACGGAGCAACGCCGCGUGAGUGAUGAAGGCUUUCGGGUCGUAAAACUCUGUUGUUAGGGAAGAACAAGUGCUAGUUGAAUAAGCUGGCACCUUGACGGUACCUAACCAGAAAGCCACAGCUAACUACGUGCCAGCCGCCGCAGUAA